CCUACGGGAGGCAGCAGUGAGGAAUAUUCGUCAAUGGACGCAAGUCUGAACCAGCAAUGCCGCGUGCAUGAUGACGGCUCUAUGAGUUGUAAACUGCUUUUGUACGAGGGUAAACCCCGAUACGUGUAUCGGGUUGAAAGUAUCGUACGAAUAAGGAUCGGCUAACUCCGUGCCAGCAGCAGCGGUAAUACGGAGGAUCCGAGCGUUAUCCGGAUUUAUUGGUGUUAGAGGGUGCGUAGGCGGGUUGAUAAGUUAGAGGUGAAAUGUCGGGGCUCAACCCCGAGACUGCAUCUAAUACUGUUGGACUAGAGAAUAGUGGCGGUAGGCGGAAUGUAUGGUGUAGCGGUGAAAUGCUUAGAGAUCAGACAGAACACCGAUGGCGAAGGCAGCUUACCAAACUAUAUCUGACGUUGAGGCACGAAAGCGUGGGUAGCAAACAGGAUUAGAUACCCGGGUAGUC
rnacentral:rRNA from 1 species